rnacentral:sRNA from 1 species
CCCUAGCACCGAUAGUCCCGAAGUCUCGGGAGAAAUCCUUUUGUGCCGGGGGUCGGCGCAAAAGAUUGGAACGCAUAGCGAGAAUAGCU